GAUGAACGCUAGCGGCAGGCCUAAUACAUGCAAGUCGAGGGGUAGAAGAGGCUUGCUUCUUUGAGACCGGCGCACGGGUGCGUAACGCGUAUGCAACCUACCUUCAUCUGGGGGAUAGCCCGGAGAAAUCCGGAUUAAUACCGCAUAAAAUCACAGGAUGGCAUUAUCCAAUGAUCAAACAUUUAUGGGAUGGAGAUGGGCAUGCGUGUCAUUAGCUAGUUGGCGGGGUAACGGCCCACCAAGGCGACGAUGACUAGGGGAUCUGAGAGGAUGGCCCCCCCCACUGGUACUGAGACACGGACCAGACUCCUACGGGAGGCAGCAGUAAGGAAUAUUGGUCAAUGGAGGCAACUCUGAACCAGCCAUGCCGCGUGCAGGAAGACUGCCCUAUGGGUUGUAAACUGCUUUUAUUCGGGAAUAAACCUUAUUACGUGUAAUAAGCUGAAUGUAUCGAAGGAAUAAGGAUCGGCUAACUCCGUGCCAGCAGCCGCCGUAA
rnacentral:rRNA from 1 species